GAUCCUAGCUCAUACAUGCAACUGCCUGCCAAUAUUCGCAAUUCUUCUGACCAGUUCAUGGUUCUGCGAGAUGGCUGUUGGCAAAAGAUCAACUUCAAAAAGAGUUUGCCUCUAUUGGACACUGAAGCUGAUUCUCAUGUUAUUCUGGAUAGUCCACGGAUAUGUCGUUUUAAAUGUGCUAGUAAAGGCCGUACCAUAGCAUCAGCUGAUCUGCAACAACACAGCACUCUUUCUAGUGAGCGAAUGGCCCAAAGAGGUAAGAGGGCUUUCCCCCAUAGGUUUGUAACAAGUUUGGAGGAGCCUCCCAUAUGCCACUCUUACCGUCAGCAUUCAGUUGGCAGUAUUACAGGUCAUUAUGAACAUAAUUUUGUGUCUCGGACACCCUGUGUUGCACUACUAGAUAUUAAUACGUUCAGCUUGUCUUUCCAUAUAUCGUCUCUGUUUUGGCACAUUUCUAUGUAUUGUAAUUAACAUGCACAUUUAAUUUAUUUUUUUCUUUGUCUAGGAGAUUAGACGACUGUACUGUAGUUGCUACUGUUUCAUUGCAAUGCACAAGAACUCGCUGUCUUGUGUAAAAUGUAUUGCUAUCGCAAUAUGUUGGUCUAGGAUAUAGUUGAAACAUUCUGCAGUUUAGUGCUAAUGAGAAUUGAUAUCACUUGAGCUUUGUCUAGGGAUAAUUACAUCUUUUGAGCACAGGUAAUCUUACUAGGCGAUUGUUUUCCAUUGUAAAGUCCACAAAGAUUUAUUAAAAAUUUAAGAGCUGAAUUCAUUUGGUGGUUAGGAUUGUGCUUAAAUGUGUUCAGCACAAAAUGUUUUGUGAUCUAAGAUUUUUAUUUUUAUAUAUAGAUUUUUUGUUUUAGUCAAGAUCAGCUGUGCAGUCUAACCGAAAGCCUGUUUAAAAAAACUUUUUUUUAACCUGACUUUCUGUUUCUUCUUCAUAUUUUUGGAUCUUAGUCACAAAAAGGAUCCUCGUUUCAUUAAUGAAAUUUUUGACCAAAACAUAUCAUAGAAGGGAUUCAAGCUUGAUUUAGAAUAUUUUGUUGUUCUUUUCAUAUUUCUUUGCAUUUAUUUCAUGCAUGUGCUUCCAGUUUGCUUUUAUUUCUGUAGAAUAAGUUUCAGAUUUACUGAUUUGGGGUCCCCUUAAUAGUCUAAAUGUCAAGUUCGCGAAGACUCUCACUUCUACUUGUAAUUUAUGUUGUUGAUGUUUGAUUUUUUGGUAUGGUCAGAUAUGUAGUCAUGCCUUUAAUAAUUUAAUUCAGCACCUGACAAGUUUGAUUUAGAGCAGCAUAUUCUCUAUAGUUUCACACAAUUUUGAUGUGAUGGGUGUGUGUUCCUCCUAAAAAACUCGAUGUGGCGUUUGCACAACGUGCAUGACUGAGACCCAUCAGAGAGAGAGAGAAUCAUUUAUUUAUUUAUUUUGGGUGAGGGGAGAAGAGAAGUUGAGAGAUGACGUGACAGUUUGAAUUAGUUGAAAUUACCAUCAAGUUUUUAAUUUCUUUUAAUGCAAGUAUGUUGCAGGGAUAUUACCAAAAAUAUAGGAAGUUUUUUUUUAUAAUUUAUUGCUUCAACCCAUAGUAUCUGUUUCUUGUAUUCUCAUAAGAAUGUAAUUCUCAUAAGAAUGUAUAGUGUAUGCUAUUGGGUUUCUGCAGAGGUGUCAGAUCAGAAUUUUGUAAAUGGAGACUGAGAAGAGAUAUCUAGCAUUUUAUCCUCGGCGAAAAGGUUGAAGAUGGCUGCAGCUGAUGCUUCGAGCACAGAUCAAACUCUGCCCUCUGGGAAGUUUCACGGAACAGAAAUUUCAACCAUCCCUAAUGCUUCACCAGAAAGAGAAACAGAUACGGAACGAAUGACCAGCAGAAAAGCGCCAGAGCUUCAUCUUUCCAGAAGCUGAUGCAAAAAUCAUUUCUGAGACCUUUGAUUUUCUCACGGUUCUGUAGUCUAAAAGAAACAGCCAGAGAUACAAAUCCCUUGACAAGAAAUUGAGUAAGGUUUUUCUUUAGAUAUGGUUCUUGAUAGUAAUGGGUUGGUGGAAAUGCUGCCACGAAUUUUUUUUAAUUACAAAUCAGGAGGAAAGAAAGUCUACUAUAUAUGCUAUACAUGCAUACGUAUAUUAGCUUAGUUCCACAAAAAAAGUAAAAAAGAGAUUGAUGAUAGUUUUUACUUUUUUUUAUGUUUUCCCUAUUAAUAAUUUCUUUAUAUGUUUUGAAAUUACUUGUCUUACUGAUUUCUGGAGAAGUUUAAGAGGUUUUCCUUUCUACUGAUGAUGGUCUUUGGAUUCUUUUUCUCCUAAAAGGUUCAGGCACUCUUUGUUGUCUAAGUGCCUUGUGACUUGCAGAAUAUGGAGCUUUAUUGGACACAAAUGCUGUUUGCACUCAAGUUGCUUUAUUUGUGAAGGGAAUGCCUCCAAGCUACAACAACCAUAAAAGGCUUUUUUUUUUUUUCAAUGGUAAUCAUGAUGGUGUCUCUUUAAAGGAAAACAUUUUGUAGAUAUUGUUAAAUACAGAUUGUGGUUCUUGAAAGGGUUCAAGGAGUCUCAGGAUGGGCUUUGAUUGGAGGGAGUGGGCCCUUCCUGAUACCAUUUUUCAGAUUAUUCUGUCCCCUCUAUGUGGCUUAUUACUUUUUUCUUUUAGUGAGUGGAUGGAUGACUCGGAGGGAUUCUAGUUGUGGGCCAUGUUCCUCUCAAGUUGUGGUAGGCCAAAUGGGAGCUCCUGAUCAUCUCGUUGCUCAAGCGGUGAUCUUGCUAACUUUUUUUUAUUGAAAAAUAAAUAAUUUAAGAAAUAAGUUUUUUAAAAUUCACUUUGUAUUUAAUAUAUUAAGAUAAUUUCUAGAGGUAAAAAAAUAUUAGUUACAAUUGAAGUUACCGAAAUAAUUUGUUAAAAUUUAUUUCAUUAUAAAUGUUACCGAAAUAAUUUGUUAAAAUUUCUAGGAUUAUUAAUUUUGGUAACAAUUGAUUUUUUAUAAAAGAGGUACUCCGUAUUAGUGACAAGAUAUUGGAAUUAGGGAGAAAUUUUGUAUUUUUGUGAGAGAAAAAAAAAAAAAAAAAAGAGAC